rnacentral:lncRNA from 1 species
CCUCACAUCUCGUCAUUGCGGCGGCGGCGGCGGCACCGGAGGGACGACCCGGCGGCGAGGACUACCUCUCUCGCGCGUGGAGUACUUCCCUUACCGCUCUCAUGCGGUAGCGACUCGGAGGCACCGUGGGCGGUGCAAGAUCUGGGCGAGCUCAACAGGACAACAGCGUUCUCCGGCGUUCCUCUCCACCGUCGACGGUAUUAUCAUCAAUAAGACCCCUAUCCUCCUGCAUGAACUUCUGAAUUUCUGGGGUUAGGGUUAUUAGUUUUUGGGAGCGGUGCUGGGAAAGAGGAAGAAGACCAAGAAAGGAAAGGAAAGGAAAGGAAAAUGAGAAGCUCGGGUGAUGGAGGUAAUGCUGGAGAAGGGCUACUGGUGGUGGGAUCAAUUCUAGGAGGAGGUGGAGAUCAUAGCGGAGGAUUCGAAGGCCGUGUGAAUGACAUAGAAGAAGAGGAGGAGCUCAAGGCUGCGGAGAAAAAGGACAACAGUAGAGUAUCAGACUUGGAUCUAGCUGAGAUCAACUUUUGUUUUCACGGGACAUGUGAAUCCUCUCUCUGAUUUGGUUUUGUCUAAAUUUCACGAAUUUUAAUCCUGAAGUAAAAAAUGAUGGUUCUGACUCGAUUGAAUGUUAGUAGUGAUGUACAUAAAGAAUCAGCCUGUACCUAGCUGACAAUGCUAAUUCUCUGUAAAUUUGUGUUAAUCAAAAUUUGCACAUACAUACGAGCAAUAUUUCUUCAAUUAAAUAAUAUUCACUUUACGACAAUUUUUGUUUUAUGCUAUUCUUAAGAUAAGAUUUGUAUCGGUGAUGAUAGCUUUAUGUUUUGUCAAUUUAUCAGGCAAACCAAUAAUUGAAAUUCUGCCAAGAAAUCUAGGAGCAGAAGAUGUAUGCUUUAGGUGUACGUGAAUCUUUAAGCCGUUCCUUUCUAGGACAAUUUCUAAGACUGUUUUUCUUUUACCCAAAGGUUUUCAAGCUUUGGGUGCCUGCGGCCGGCUCGACGGGUGGCAUCAGCAAGCGCCGGCCUCGGCACUGCUGCGGGUGGUUAUAUGGUGGGCGGAGCACACUAGUGGGCUUCAACGUCAGGGUACGGUGGCGAGCUAAAUCCUGAGUCCUGCUAGGCUUUUUUUGGUUCAGGUUUUGUUAUUGUUUUCAUUCGGGGUUAUGUGGCGAGCAAACCUAGCAUUUGCAGUUGUUUGUUUCAGAAUUUCAUGUCCUGACAUCAAAUUUCGAUACAUAAUGUAAAUCCUGCCAACAAAUCUAUGUUAUGGGCUUACUAGUUCUCUUCAUAUCUCUAUGCUGAUUUUGUGUGCAAUUUCAAUGAAUACUUUCUAUUUUAUUCAGGGAUACGUUCAGCAUGCUUGUGAGGUACACAUUUUUCAGGUCCAAUUAUAAGUGUUUGCUUGAUUUAUUGCUCAAAUUUCAUGUUCUAAUGAUGCUCCUUCACUUCAAUACAGCGUUGGCAGGUAGGACGACUAUCUGUCCAAAUUAUCAUGUACAAUUUUUUUUUUAAAAAUUGUCUCUUCUUCUGCAUGUCUCUAAGGCAUAAUUUGUGAUCUAUCAUGAGAUAAUGAUUAUUUCUUCUUCUUUCUUAACAUGCGGCUAGUUGCUACGAAAAUUUAACACAUACAUCAGCCUUUUGUCAUUGAAACAAAAUCAUAUGUGCCAAGUUUCUACAUUCCGUUGAAGCUUGCAGAUUUACCAUCUAACUUGGCACAUUAUUGAAACAAAUCGUAACCAUGGAUUCUAUAUGGAAGAUCGACAUAUCAUUUUUACACUAGAUUCAUGUAUACUCUAAGGAAUUAAUUUUCUUCAGCUUCAACCCAUUUUCCUAUCUUGCAAAGCUGUCCAUUCAAGUAUGAUCAAUUUCUACUAUGUGACUUAAUACAUUUGUAACACUGGCAUAGUGACAUUGACAUGCUUUUCUUUUCCAUCCCGUUUAAUAUUGAUUCAUCUACAUGGUUAUAUGCAUGUCUUUGCAUACAUUACUUAUCCAUUCUGCUAUUGAUUAUUUCCAUUUUUCAUCCCGGCAAUACGCUGAUAGCUUAUCCAGUCUGCUAUUGAUCAUUACCAUUUUUCACCCUGGCAGUAUGCCGAUAGCUAUAAUCGAGUUAAUAGUUCCAAAAUGUUGGUUCACAAUUAUUUGUCUAUUUGGGAAGCACAUGGUUGGCUUCGGCGGGUGGCAUGACCUUUCCAUUCUAAAUUUAAGUUGGUCUGAAAAUUUUGAACUAUGCCAUGGAAUAGAAAAGAUAUAACUUCCCUUCAUAUCGCUGAUUCUUCUUAGUCUUCCUUUUGUGAAGUUGUGUAGCAAUCUUCCUUUUCCUAUAUGUAAUUCGAUUUUCUUAGGAAUACUCUCCAUUUUCUUAGGAACACGACGUCGUUGCGAUGCCUCCAGAUGCACCAGCAACAGAACAUAAAGAAUGUCGAUAGCGAGGUGAGCGACAUCUAGCAGAUUGCGGAUAGAAGGCCACGGAAGGUGACCGGAACCCCAACGUGGCCCUGAAAUCAACCACCAAUGGGCAGGGAGAGAGGAGGUGAUUUUAUUCCUGAAUCAUGCUUAACAUUUCUUUAGCAAACAAGCACUAGCAGCCCGUUUUCAGAUGUAGACAUGCCAAUGAAGGCCUGAUAAAGAAUAGAAAAAAUACAAUAUAUUGGUUUAAUUGUUCUCUUGUGUAGACCAAAAUUAGCGAGUAAAGGAAAUUUGAUGUUGCUUCCAAAUUCUUUCUGCGAGUUUAUCCCAGGAAUAAUGUUUUGUUCCUAUUUGAGUUGCAACGUGUGACUUCCGGAGGCUAUCCAUUUGAUGUUGCUGUUCAACAACUCUCAAAGGCACAGAGCAAAUC